UGGAUACAUUAGAUACAGAGAAAUUUGUCUGGGAGAAAAGGUCAACAGUUGGGAGGAAUUAAGGAGUUCACUUGAUGAAGUUCAAAUUGAGAAACUACGUAGAAUCUACACAAGCGUAGAGGAUAUUGAUCUUUAUGUUUAAGGAGUUCACUUGAUGAAGUUCAAAUUGAGGAACUACGUAAAAUCUACACAAGCGUAGAGGAUAUUGAUCUUUAUGUUUAAGGAGUUCACUUGAUGAAGUU